AUGGUGAGUAGAGACCUCAUGUCAAUAGGUACCAGUCAUGGUGAGUAGAGACAUGUCAAUAGGUACCAGUCAUGGUGAGUAGAGACAUCAUGUCAAUAGGUACCAGUCAUGGUGAGUAGAGACAUGUCAAUAGGUACCAGUCAUGGUGAGUAGAGACCUCAUGUCAAUAGGUACCAGUCAUGGUGAGUAGAGACAUCAUGUCAAUAGGUACCAGUCAUGGUGAGUAGAGACAUCAUGUCAAUAGGUACCAGUCAUGGUGAGUAGAGACAUCAUGUCAAUAGGUACCAGUCAUGGUGAGUAGAGACAUCAUGUCAAUAGGUACCAGUCAUGGUGAGUAGAGACAUCAUGUCAAUAGGUACCAGUCAUGGUGAGUAGAGACAUCAUGUCAAUAGGUACCAGUCAUGGUGAGUAGAGACCUCAUGUCAAUAGGUACCAGUCAUGGUGAGUAGAGACAUCAUGUCAAUAGGUACCAGUCAUGGUGAGUAGAGACAUCAUGUCAAUAGGUACCAGUCAUGGUGAGUAGAGACAUCAUGUCAAUAGGUACCAGUCAUGGUGAGUAGAGACAUCAUGUCAAUAGGUACCAGUCAUGGUGAGUAGAGACAUCAUGUCAAUAGGUACCAGUCAUGGUGAGUAGAGACAUCAUGUCAAUAGGUACCAGUCAUGGUGAGUAGAGACAUCAUGUCAAUAGGUACCAGUCAUGGUGAGUAGAGACAUCAUGUCAAUAGGUACCAGUCAUGGUGAGUAGAGACAUCAUGUCAAUAGGUACCAGUCAUGGUGAGUAGAGACAUCAUGUCAAUAGGUACCAGUCAUGGUGAGUAGAGACAUCAUGUCAAUAGGUACCAGUCAUGGUGAGUAGAGACAUCAUGUCAAUAGGUACCAGUCAUGGUGAGUAGAGACAUCAUGUCAAUAGGUACCAGUCAUGGUGAGUAGAGACCUCAUGUCAGGUUUAAAUGUAUUAUUGUCAUAAUGCAUAUUGUGUCAUAUCGUGCCAUACAUAAUCAUAUCAUCCUGUCAAUUCAUAUCUGACAUUAAGAUACUCUACAGAAACUUUAUUGAGGUUGUAUCUUACAGACUGAAUAGCUAGUGGUUAGUUUGGUGAUACAACUUCAGAGUUUCUGUAGAGUAUCACUAAACUAACCACUAGCCAUUCAGUCAUGGUGAGUGAUGUCUAAUGGCACAUUUAGAGUACAAUUACAUGGAUGCAUGUA